rnacentral:miRNA from 1 species
UGUUUGAGUUCUGGACCUGGA